rnacentral:rRNA from 1 species
UGGGGAAUAUUGGACAAUGGGCGAAAGCCUGAUCCAGCCAUGCCGCGUGUGUGAAGAAGGUCUUCGGAUUGUAAAGCACUUUAAGUUGGGAGGAAGGGCAGUAAGUUAAUACCUUUGCUGUUUUGACGUUACCAACAGAAUAAGCACCGGCUAACUUCGUGCCAGCAGCCGCGGUAAUACGAAGGGUGCAAGCGUUAAUCGGAAUUACUGGGCGUAAAGCGCGCGUAGGUGGUUCAGCAAGUUGGAUGUGAAAUCCCCGGGCUCAACCUGGGAACUGCAUCCAAAACUACUGAGCUAGAGUACGGUAGAGGGUGGUGGAAUUUCCUGUGUAGCGGUGAAAUGCGUAGAUAUAGGAAGGAACACCAGUGGCGAAGGCGACCACCUGGACUGAUACUGACACUGAGGNUCGAAAGCGUGGGGAGCAAACAGGAUUAGAUACCCUGGUAGUCCACGCCGUAAACGAUGUCGACUAGCGUUGGGAUCCUUGAGAUCUUAGUGGCGCAGCUAACGCGAUAAGUCGACCGCCCGGGGAGUACGGCCGCAAGGUUA